rnacentral:rRNA from 1 species
GUACGAGGACGAACGCUGGCGGCGUGCCUAACACAUGCAAGUCAACUUGACUGAAGGAGCAAUCUGACAGUAGAGUGGCGCAAGGGUGCGUAACGCGUAAGUAACUUGCCCCAAGGUAAGGAAUAACGUCGAGAAAUCGGCGCUAAUACCUCAUAAUGCAGCGGAUCCGCAUGGAUAUGUUGUUAAAGGUUUACCGCCUUGGGAUAGGCUUGCGUCUGAUUAGUUAGUUGGUGUGGUAACGGCACACCAAGGCUACGAUCAGUAACUGGUCUGAGAGGAUGAUCAGUCACACUGGAACUGAGACACGGUCCAGACUCCUACGGGAGGCAGCAGUGAGGAAUAUUGGGCAAUGCUCGAAAGAGUGACCCAGCAACGCCGCGUGGAGGAUGAAGGUAUUCUAUAUCGUAAACUCCUGUGAGAGCAGACGAAAGACAGAUUAUUAAUCUGGAUGACUGUAUGCUCAGAGGAAGCCCCGGCUAACUACGUG